rnacentral:rRNA from 1 species
UACGUAGGGUGCAAGCGUUGUCCGGAAUUAUUGGGCGUAAAGAGCUCGUAGGCGGUCUUUUGCGUCGGCUGUGAAAACCCGGGGCUCAACCCCGGGCCUGCAGCCGAUACGGGCAGGCUAGAGGUAGGUAGGGGAGAAUGGAAUUCCCGGUGUAGCGGUGAAAUGCGCAGAUAUCGGGAGGAACACCGGUGGCGAAGGCGGUUCUCUGGGCCUUACCUGACGCUGAGGAGCGAAAGCGUGGGGAGCGAACAGG